CUUCUUUUGAAAUAUAUCAAGACUAUUACAGAGACCUACAGCUGACCAAAAUGCAAAGGACACAGGGUAUUUCCUCCCUGUGGGUCCCAAACCGUGCUGCAUCUGCUCCCUGGCAUUUAACAACUUCUCCGCCAACACAAAGCACAACGUGCACAACACAAACACUCCCAGACGGCCUGAAUGUGCUACUGCCCAUAUUAGACAAGGACGUUCCAGGCGUACUUACUCAAGCCAAGUGCUGUGGCCUAAAGAGUCUGGGGAAGCUGAAAGGAAGAGGGGAGAUUUGAAGCUGGUGCUCUGGGGUUAGGACCACAGGAGAACGGGCUGCAGGAAGCCGAAGGGUGUAGUUGAGGCUGGGGAAGCAUUUACACGGAUGUGCCCAGACAUGAAGUUGGGAAAAAAAUUAGAGCCAAGUUGCUUAGGCCUUCGGCUACCAGGACGAGGGCUCGAAGAAAGAACGCUGAAGACCAGGGUGAAAGUGGUUGUGGUCCAACGGAGAGAUAAUCGGCCUGUCCCGACCUGAGCUUUGGGCUAGAGGCUUCUUAACCAUCCUUCCUCUCCCCUCAUAGCUGCUGGAAAGAAACGACAGGAUCCCGGCUGUGGCUAUCUCUGUGUAGCCCUCGCUUCCUCCGAGGACCGUUAAGCCAUUGCCGCUACAGGUGUCACCAUCCAUAAUCUAGACACAACAUGAGCUAAAGGGCUGACUCUUUCUUCUCUCCUCCUGCUGCCUAGGAUGCAGAGGCAACCUGACUGCUAGCCCUUGAUACGGGCUACUCAUCAGCUACAUGGUCUGGACUACUCCAGCCUCUCUGGAACCCAAGAGAGGUGAUCCCUGCUUUGUUUUGGGGACCCAGACUCUUCAGAACCCCUGCCAUGCAUUGAUCGCACCAAGAUCUCCCCUUAUAAGUCAGUUGCCCACAAAAACAAUUUGCCCCAACAUUUCUCUUUAGCCACCAAGCUUGAAAGCUUACAAGUUGCAUUGUGCAGGAAGAACCCACAUGCCCAAGGGAGGACUGCCCAUCUGUUGGCAGGAUGCUCUGGUCCUUGCAGAUUUCAUGGUGCCCUGUUUGAGAGUGGGACAGUCCCACCCCCAUAAUGCCAGUAGCCACACGUUCAGCAUCCAUGUUACUUAAGUCACCUCACUGGCCUGUUUCCUCAUCUAUAGAAAAUGCACCACGCAAGACCGUUCCUCCUUCCAGAGGUGCCUUGGAGGCCAAAUGAGAUAACAGACAGCUGCCCGAGGCCUAGUGAGGGAGCCCGGCAGCAGAUGGCAGACAGAACUGACACCCACAGUGCCCUUGGUGUGUUUAUGGGGAUCUGCCAUGAUUAAACAUGGCUACUCUGCUCUGACAGACAGCUGAAGGAGAAAUCCAGCAAGUGUGAUGUGGGGUCACUCUCAAGGGAAUUAAGGUGGACACGUUUCCAACAGAGGGCCAGAAGCUGCUCCCCUCUGACAGCAAAGUGUGACACAUAGCUCCUUAAGGUGAUAACCUUGCCACAGAGUGUUCUGCUAUAUUCAAACCCUGGCGCCCUGCAUCUGUGCUGCGAUGGAGGUCCAGGUGGGAAUGUGGGGUACUGUUGGAUUCCUUCAUUAAGAAAUAAUAACGAGGAACACUAGAAGAAUUCUCCCACAAAACGGUCCAUCAUUCCAUCCCCUGUGCCCUGGGCACAGAGAACAGAAACUCUGCCAUCUCCACAUGUGCCAGACAGCUGUGCAUUUUGACAUACUCUGUGGUAUCCAACCCUCACACCCACCCCAUAAAAGAGGAAUGGCUGUCCACAUACUUACUAUAACGAGAAAAGAGUGCCUUGGUUAAAGAACCUUGCCCAAGCUCGUGCAUUAGGCCAGCACUUGGAUGGAAAGUGGCACUUGGCUGAAAGCUGUGUUUCCUACACACGCCCCUCCUACAGCCUUGUGGUAAGACCACUCGAUGCACUUACACAGUCUUCCAAGAUCAGCAUUUUUUUUUCCACAGUAUGAUUAAAGGUGUGUAGCUCCAUAUGGUGACUGGCUAUAACACUUACCUUUAACUUUGUAAUUGGGAAUAAAUUUAGGCACUGCAAGCUCUAA